rnacentral:misc_RNA from 1 species
UUAAGUUCAGCGGGUAUUCCUACCUGAUCCGAGGUCAACCUUGAGAAAUAAUAAAAAGGUCUAAUAUCAAUCAACCUCUUAAGAUGCGUGCUAUUGAAAGCUCGUUGCAUCAAGGGUCAAAAGACACCGCCAUUGUCUUUGGGAUUGUUGAUUUGCACAACAGUUCCAACAACAAGCUAAGCUUGAGGGUUGAUAAUGAC